ensembl:snRNA U6 U6 spliceosomal RNA
UCAUUCUCGCUUCAGCACUGCACGUACUAAAAUUGGAACAUACAGAGAAGAUGAGCAUGAACCCUGCACCAAGAUGACAAGCACAUUUGUGAAGCAUUCCAUAUUUUU